GUCACCUCUUCCGGGCUAGCCCGAGAGUAGAACCCAGCGUUGAUGCAGGUGCCGCCGCCGAGGACGCGGGCGCGCAUGUUGAUAACGCCGUCGUUGGAGAUGAAGGGCUGGGAGGCUGAGGAGGGGGACGUGUCCACGAGGUUGUCGAGGAAGUUGGCGAAGUGGGAUAUGUUCUUGUUGUCGUAAGGAGAGGGUCCUCUUUCAAGUAGCAAG
rnacentral:misc_RNA from 1 species